GACGUAGGGCGCGAGCGUUGUCCGGAUUUAUUGGGCGUAAAGAGCUCGUAGGCGGCUUGUCGCGUCGAAUGUGAAAUCUCGGGGCUCAACUCCGAGCUUGCAUUCGAUACGGGCAGGCUAGAGUUCGGUAGGGGAGACUGGAAUUCCUGGUGUAGCGGUGAAAUGCGCAGAUAUCAGGAGGAACACCGGUGGCGAAGGCGGAUCUCUGGGCCUUACCUGACGCUGAGGCGCGAAAGCUAGGGGAGCGAACAGG
rnacentral:rRNA from 1 species